GAGAGCUUGCUCUGUAGCGGUUUCCUUCAGGGCAGGUGGUGACUGCUCCUUUCGGAGCAAGGAGGAGGCACAGGC
rnacentral:miRNA from 1 species